CAUAUGCUUGUCUCAAAGAUUAAGCCAUGCAUGUCUAAGUAUAAGCAAUUAUACAGCGAAACUGCGAAUGGCUCAUUAUAUAAGUUAUCGUUUAUUUGAUAGUACCUUACUACUUGGAUAACCGUGGUAAUUCUAGAGCUAAUACAUGCUAAAAAUCCCGACUUCGGAAGGGAUGUAUUUAUUAGAUUAAAAACCAAUGCCCUCCGGGGCUCACUGGUGAUUCAUGAUAACUUCUCGAAUCGCAUGGCCUUGCGCCGGCGAUGGUUCAUUCAAAUUUCUUCCCUAUCAACUUUCGAUGUUUGGGUAUUGGCCAAACAUGGUUGCAACGGGUAACGGAGGGUUAGGGCUCGACCCCGGAGAGGGAGCCUGAGAAACGGCUACCACAUCCAAGGAAGGCAGCAGGCGCGCAAAUUACCCAAUCCCAACACGGGGAGGUAGUGACAAUAUGUAACAAUAUACGGCCUUAUACGUCGUAUAAUUGGAAUGAGUACAAUUUAAAUCCCUUAACGAGGAACAAUUGGAGGGCAAGUCUGGUGCCAGCAGCC
rnacentral:rRNA from 1 species